rnacentral:rRNA from 1 species
CAAUACUAGAGACCGGCGCACGGGUGCGUAACGCGUAUGCAAUCUACCUUUUACAGAGGGAUAGCCCAGAGAAAUUUGGAUUAAUACCUCAUAGCAUAGCAGCUUCGCAUGAAGCCACUAUUAAAGUCACAACGGUAAAAGAUGAGCAUGCGUCCCAUUAGCUAGUUGGUAAGGUAACGGCUUACCAAGGCAACGAUGGGUAGGGGUCCUGAGAGGGAGAUCCCCCACACUGGUACUGAGACACGGACCAGACUCCUACGGGAGGCAGCAGUGAGGAAUAUUGGACAAUGGGCGCAAGCCUGAUCCAGCCAUGCCGCGUGCAGGAUGACGGUCCUAUGGAUUGUAAACUGCUUUUGCGCAGGAAGAAACACUACUUCGUGAAGUAGCUUGACGGUACUGUGAGAAUAAGGAUCGGCUAACUCCGUGCCAGCAGCCGCGGUAAUACGGAGGAUCCAAGCGUUAUCCGGAAUCAUUGGGUUUAAAGGGUCCGUAGGCGGUUUAGUAAGUCAGUGGUGAAAGCCCAUCGCUCAACGGUGGAACGGCCAUUGAUACUGCUAGACUUGAAUUCUUAGGAAGUAACUAGAAUAUGUAGUGUAGCGGUGAAAUGCUUAGAGAUUACAUGGAAUACCAAUUGCGAAGGCAGGUUACUACUAAUGGAU